UCCUAGAUCGUCUAGUGGUUAGGGCACGAGUUUGCCACACUCGUGCCCAGGGUCCGAUUUCUCUGUCAAGGAG